GGGUUUGUCCCGACCCUAGUUAUGUCAUGUAUAUCCUAGAGGCUUUGUAGACAUAAGGAAGGGUAAAGUCAUGGAAGUUUAUAUAGUAACGUUAUAUUUGUAUAUGUGGUGGCCCCGACGGCCAAGUAUUAUAUAUAUAUAUUUGUGCGUGUUGUGCUGAUACAGGUAAUUAGACCUUUCUAUAUGCAACGACGUGCUGUCCAAUUUUAUUUUUGGUGACAUGUAAGUGAAAGUACAGGUAUUUGAACGGGUUCUCCCGGGCCUUCUCGGCUU
rnacentral:lncRNA from 1 species